ACACUCAGAACCCUGGAGACCAAACUAAAAUCCGAACCUACGCCAGAAGUGACAGCCAAAAUCACGAAAUGUCAGACGGAAAUCAAAGAGCACAUGAAAAGAGACUCGACAAAAGCCCUACUGUGGUCCAAACAACUCUUCUACGACAAGGCAAACAAAGCUGACACUCUACUGGCACGAAAACUCAGGCAACGCACGGCCCAGAAACAGAUAAACAAAAUAGCCACACCAAAUGAGACCAUAACGGAGGACCCCAACAAGAUUUCAGAAGUAUUCCAAAACUACUUCACGUCCCUAUACGACCACGAC